rnacentral:rRNA from 1 species
AUUGAACGCUGGCGGCAUGCCUUACACAUGCAAGUCGAACGGCAGCACGGGAGCAAUCCUGGUGGCGAGUGGCGAACGGGUGAGUAAUAUAUCGGAACGUGCCCAGUCGUGGGGAUAACGUAGCGAAAGCUACGCUAAUACCGCAUACGAUCUAUGGAUGAAAGCGGGGGAUCGCAAGACCUCGCGCGAUUGGAGCGGCCGAUAUCAGAUUAGGUAGUUGGUGAGGUAAAGGCGUCACCAAGCCGACGAUCUGUAGCUGGUCUGAGAGGACGACCAGCCACACUGGGACUGAGACACGGGCCCAGGACCUCCUACGGGAGGCAGCAGUGGGGAAUUUUGGACAAUGGGCGCAAGCCUGAUCAGCAAUGCCGCGUGCAGGAUGAAGGCU